rnacentral:lncRNA from 1 species
UCUCAUUUAUUCUUUAUCAAAAUAAAAAAAAAAAAUUGGACUUGCUUGCAUGGUAACAUGUAGUAAUAACGAUCGGUAUGUAAUUUUUUCCUACUCUAUUUAAUAUAUUCUAAAUCCAUGUAGGCAUCCCGUUGAUCAUUUAGACAAAGAUUAGCUUCAUGGAUAUUGAGGCUGAAACCAGAAUGGAUACGAGCAUACUC